rnacentral:rRNA from 1 species
GACGAACGCUGGCGGCGUGCCUAAUACAUGCAAGUCGAACGCUUCUUUCCUCCCGAGUGCUUGCACUCAACUGGAAAGAGGAGUGGCGGACGGGUGAGUAACACGUGGGUAACCUACCCAUCAGAGGGGGAUAACACUUGGAAACAGGUGCUAAUACCGCAUAACAGUUUAUGCCGCAUGGCAUAAGAGUGAAAGGCGCUUUCGGGUGUCGCUGAUGGAUGGACCCGCGGUGCAUUAGCCAGUUGGUGAGGUAACGGCUCACCAAGGCCACGAUGCAUAGCCGACCUGAGAGGGUGAUCGGCCACACUGGGACUGAGACACGGCCCAGACUCCUACGGGAGGCAGCAGUAGGGAAUCUUCGGCAAUGGACGAAAGUCUGACCGAGCAACGCCGCGUGAGUGAAGAAGGUUUUCGGAUCGUAAAACUCUGUUGUUAGAGAAGAACAAGGACGUUAGUAACUGAACGUCCCCUGACGGUAUCUAACCAGAAAGCCACGGCUAACUACGUGCCAGCAGCCGCGGUAAUACGUAGGUGGCAAGCGUUGUCCGGAUUUAUUGGGCGUAAAGCGAGCGCAGGCGGUUUCUUAAGUCUGAUGUGAAAGCCCCCGGCUCAACCGGGGAGGGUCAUUGGAAACUGGGAGACUUGAGUGCAGAAGAGGAGAGUGGAAUUCCAUGUGUAGCGGUGAAAUGCGUAGAUAUAUGGAGGAACACCAGUGGCGAAGGCGGCUCUCUGGUCUGUAACUGACGCUGAGGCUCGAAAGCGUGG